rnacentral:lncRNA from 1 species
ACGGAGGAAGUACUGAAAGUGGCUUGUCCACGUAUUGGAGGCUUUGCCUCAAUUUACUGUUAACUGAGCAGCAAGGCUGCAACUGUGGAGUGUUGGGCUGGGUGGGUUGAGCUAUUCCCCAUAUGGAGUGUAGGGCUGGUACGGGUGGAGUGUAGUGGUUGGUGGGUUGAGUAGUCUCCCCAAAUGGGCUUGCAUAUGUUAUUGAUGUUGCAUGUAUUUUGAAAUGGGCCUAUGGGCCAUACUGUUAUCUGAAUAAGGGGCUAAGGC